CUACGGGCCGCUGCAGUGAGGAAUAUUGCACAAUGGGGGGAACCCUGAUGCAGCAACGCCGCGUGGAGGAUGACGCAUUUCGGUGUGUAAACUCCUUUUAUAUGUCAAGAAAAUGACGGUAGCAUAUGAAUAAGCACCGGCUAACUCCGUGCCAGCAGGCCGCGGUAAUACGGAGGGUGCAAGCGUUAAUCGGAAUCACUGGGCGUAAAGGACGCGUAGGCGGGUUGGAAAGUCAGGUGUGAAAUCCUACAGCUUAACUGUAGAACUGCACUUGAAACUUCUAAUCUAGAGUAUGGGAGGGGGAGAUGGAAUUAGUGGUGUAGGGGUAAAAUCCGUAGAUAUCACUAGGAAUACCUAAAGCGAAGGCGAUCUCCUGGAACAUUACUGACGCUAAGGCGUGAAAGCGUGGGGAGCAAACAGGAUUAGAUACCCCUGUAGUC
rnacentral:rRNA from 1 species